CUAUCACCGGAGCUGCCAUCUCCCAGUCGAAACUCUCUCUGCCAUGGACAUCGGGUCGACAUCUCAAUAUUCCGCUGUUGUUCGGUCGAAAUCGCGCUAUUUGUGUGCAUUUUGCACUUGAACUGGCUCAAAUACGUAUUUCCACAUAUGGAAUGUGAUAAGGAGGUGCAGCGAAAACGAUGCCCCAAUCUCAACUUGUUUGCUUUGCCGACUAGCCGGAAAAGGGCGACCGUCCCACUUUGGCCCUGUUAACCGGCUGAUCAAGGAACUUACAGGACCUUAGGGACACGAGAUGUAAGGCAGGGAAUACAAGUGCGGACCGAUCGCUACAAAGUCAGGCGACACUCGAUGAUCAAUUUAUCAGCACUCUAUAGCUGGGCGGCUAAAAACCAACACUCUGGCGAUACACUUACUAACUAGGUCGUCGGACUUACCCAUUUUGAAGCCGAAAUUAUCAAUUAGUGGGCAAUC